UCUCUGUGUGCAGGGCAGCUUCUACGUGGCCAGUGAGCACUGCCUGCAGAGAGCUCACUCGUGGCACCGCAGGCUGUGCCGCCUCCUGCUGGCGGCUCUCGACGGUCUGACCUCGUACCACUCUGCUCUGAGGAAGGAGAUCCCAACGCUGCCGCACACUCUGCACUCAGAGGAGCUUCUUGUAGAAGAAACUCUGAGUCGCCUCACACAGGAGUUACAGCUGCAGGAGGUCCAUGACGGGGUGGCGGAGCAGAUCAGCCGGGACGUGAGCCAGCUCUGCUCCCAGCUGGCGGCCCUGUGGAGCAACUUCCUGCUGAACGCUGUGCUCAACCCCCACAUCCUGUCCUAUCUGGCCCAGGAGCAUCACACACUCAGGGUGAGAGGGACUGCAUUCACACACACACACACUUAUACACAUCUC